GUAAUUAAAAGCGUGGAAUAUAUUCGUCGAACUAACAGAUAGAGAAUAACGCAGUGUGACGAACGAAUAGAACGAAUUAGCUUCUCGGUUCGUGAUAUCGAGUAAUAAUACCGGAGGCCCCCGAUAAACGAUUUAGUCUGGAAACCUCAAAAGAUAAAUAAAGAAAGGAAGGAUGCAUUGGAAAUUAAUUAUUAUCGGAUUCGCAUAUAUUUUCAUCAUGUUUAUCUCGUUUAAUACAAUUGUUGCGACCGAUCAAUCGAAAUUUUUAUAUUUCGAACGAGAUUUCAAUACAGACAUUACGCAACAAAUAAAUGAACCGUUAAAUAUGGUGCAAGGAGAAAAUAUUAAAAAUUUAAAUGCAAGGAUAAUAAAAGCACCACUUUUAGAGACAGUCAAUCCUUGCAAAAAUGGUCGAAGAAUGGAUACAACUGGAAAAUGCAGAAGGGUAUUGUGAUCGUGCAAGUUUUAUUUGAAAAGAUAUAAUAAUAGAUAAAAUAACUGUUCAUCAUGUGGGACAUCCAUCCGUUCGUUCGUUCAUUUUCAUCGUCAAAACCAAACUACGAAUGGAUGAUAUUCUUUAUUCCGGACUGCGAGAAGAAAGCCAAUCAAGCAAAGGCAAACCGCUUUCUUAUCGAUCGAGUUGUUCUUCUUUCUCUCUUUUUCUCUCUUUCCCUUUUAUAUUCUUCUUCCUUUUCUUCCCCAUCUCACCCUCCCACCCACCCUCUCUCACUCUCUCUCUCUCUCUCUUCUAUGGUUGCUGCGAUGAUGCUGGCAACGAUCAAAACCGUUCAAAUUCUAAACUUGGAAAUCGUCGAAAAGGAAAUCAAGAAUAAAACACGCAGUUUAAAUUCGAGUUUGAUUAAAUAAAAAGGGGGAAUCGAUUAAUCGAAAAAGGAAAUGAAUAAAUUCAUCGACUCUCUCUGUCUCUCUC